AGUAACGCGUAAUCAACCUGCCCUUCAGAGGGGGACAACAGUUGGAAACGACUGCUAAUACCGCAUAAGCCCACGGCUCGGCAUCGAGCAGAGGGAAAAGGAGCAAUCCGCUUUGAGAUGGCCUCGCGUCCGAUUAGCUAGUUGGUGAGGUAAUGGCCCACCAAGGCGACGAUCGGUAGCCGGACUGAGAGGUUGAACGGCCACAUUGGGACUGAGACACGGCCCAG
rnacentral:rRNA from 1 species